rnacentral:rRNA from 1 species
CCUACGGGUGGCUGCAGUGAGGAAUAUUGGUCAAUGGGCGAAAGCCUGAACCAGCCAAGUCGCGUGAGGGAGUACUGCCCUAUGGGUUGUAAACCUCUUUUGUCGGGGAGCAAAAGCCGGACGUGUCCGGCUGUGGGAGUCCCCGAAGAAAAAGCAUCGGCUAACUCCGUGCCAGCCGCCGCGGUGAUACGGAGGAUGCGAGCGUUAUCCGGAUUUAUUGGGUUUAAAGGGUGCGCAGGCGGAUUUUUAAGUCAGCGGUAAAAUCGUGGGGCUCAACCCCAUCCAGCCGUUGAAACUGGGGAUCUAGAGUGUGCGAGAGGUAUGCGGAAGGCGUGGUGUAGCGGUGAAAUGCAUAGAGAUAACGCAGAACCCCGAUUGCGAAGGCAGCAUACCGGUGCACAACUGACGCUCAGGCAAGAAAGCGUGGGUAUCGAACAGGAUUAGAUACCCCAGUAGUC